GUAGUAGCAAUUACUCUAGCGAGACCCUUGAGGACUGAUGCGGAGAAGGGUUUCGUGUGAACAGCAGUUGCACACGAGUCAGUCGAUCCUAAGCCCUAGGAGAAAUCUGAAGUAUGCGGGCCGUCGGCCCCGCGGGCGAAAGGGAAUCCGGUUCCUAUUCCGGAACCCGGUCGCGGAACCGUCUCACGUCGGGCCCCCGGCUCAGGCCGGAAGCUCGUCGGGGUAACCCAAACAGACCCGGAGAAGCCGUCGGGAGGUCGGGGAAGAGUUUUCUUUUCUGUUUGAGCGCUCGGGUUCCCUGGAAUUGUCUAGCACAGAGAGAGGGAAUGGAGCGCGUAGAGCACCGCAGUUGCGGCGGUGUCCCGACAUGCCCCUCGGACCUUGAAAAUCCGGGGACGGGCCACGUGGAGGUGUCGCGCCGGCUCGUACCCAUAUCCGCAGCAGGUCUCCUAGGUAAAUAGCCUCUAGUCGGUAGAUCAAUGUAGGUAAGGGAAGUCGGCAAAUUGGAUCCGUAACUUCGGAAUAAGGAU
rnacentral:rRNA from 2 species